UCAUGUUAGAUAUUAUUGAUUAAUAGACUGUAAAUGUGCUAAAGGCAAUUUAGAAGAAUUAUACAAAAGUUAUGAUUUAAAAGUAUACAUUUUUUAACAACAUUAAUGGGUUAUAAUCAAAAAAUAAUAACAAACUUAUAAUUUGGAGAUUAAAAUAAUAAUGAAAUUAGAAAUUUUCUUCAACACAAACACUUUGCUAGUGUUAACCAGUUCACCUUACAUUAUACACCACUGCCAGGCACAGCUAAUAAUCAAUAGGUCUACAUAAUUAACUGGUUUAAUGUUAGUUCUUUUUUUUCAUAUAUUUGCCAAGGCUUCUGUUACUCUACCCCUUGUUGGUUUACUUUCUUUAUAACUUAGCCAUAUUCCAGUGAAUGUCUAAAUCACUUACUAGUGUUCUUUAUGCUAAUGCAGUAGUUGCUGCUCCAGUUUCAACAUCCUACUUAUGCUCCAGUAUCCUUUUACUUAAUGAUUUUUCAGUGUAACUUAUACAUUGAGAAGUAUGGACCAUUACGCAUACUCCUACUAGGGUUUGGACCCUGCGCCCCCUCCGCAUCAUCUCUUCUUUUUGUUCGCAUUUUCACUGUAACUUCCAGUUCUGUCUCCUUCAACCACUUAAUCAAAUACUCCACACUGCGAAAACAAUUUUCCAUAACACAACACUUUAUUGUUAAUCAAAGUUGAAUUAGUAACUUACAAUAAAAAAGAAUAAUGCUCCACAAUCCUGCCAAUAACCAGACUACGUCGUACGAGAAAUAACUCCACCUACACACCAACGGUACACACUCUUUUAACAUUCAAAAGUCCAAUCAAAUAACGACAGUUGCAAUUGGCACCUGCAGCAAAACCAACACCACAACAAUAACAAUUAACCACCCGGACAGGACCACAACAGCGGCACAGCAGCAUAAGGCAGGACGGGCUUACAAUGCCCCACAACAGUUUAAAUAACUGUGCGCAUUUACAUAAUCAUUAGCAAUAAACAAUUUACAAAUUUAAGAAAAGUAAUGGAAAGUUAUUUUACAGAUUAUUAAACAACAACAAUUUUUGUUUCUGUUUUUUUUUUCUACAAAACUUCAUUAAAUAAUUUUUUAAAACUUUUCUUUUUUUCGAACUGUCAGUCAAUCACCAGAACAGCACAACCAUCAUCGACCGAUCAACGACCACACCACAGGUAACUCCUUACACUACCCUUCACCAAAAAGGCCGAUGCUGGGGAACACCAAGGGACCCCAGCAUUGCCUACCAACAGGGUCCCAGUUCACUCCAUUACACCAGGGCAAUAUCGUUCUCAACCUGUAACUCUCAAACAGUUGUCCUUAUUCCGCUGAAGGGGAUAUCCAUAACUCAAACUUAGUCGGUAUCUCCGGCAUUGAACACCUGCGUUGAUAACUGGUAAAAUCAGGUGGAACCCUCGGCGUUUCCCAACGAAAAGGAGCAGGUUAUCAUUUUCUUGGCACAUACUCCGGUGAAUUAACCAUAUAAUAAUCACAACAAUACGGAGCGGCAGUGGCAGACGGGGAGGCAAACAGGGUCCCUGUUCGGACACCAGAUGAGAAGUAUGGACCAUUAUCCAUACUCCUACUAGGGUUUAGACCCCGCGCCCCCUCCGCAACAUGUCCUUUAUUUGUUCAUCAUUGUCAGUGAAGGGAAUUUCAUAAAUUCCCAGUACGAUACAUGGAUUCACUCUAUCCUUAUCAUUAUGAAUUGUGUUAAACAGUAUGUUUGUUUCUUCUAUUAAAGAUAACUCUGCCACUUGUAGUCUUCUCUCUCUUUUCCUAAAAUGAAGAGUGAUGUCAUUUAUGUCCAAUGAGCAUGUUUGUUGGUAAUCUCUUUCUUUCCCAUUCAUAAUCGAAGCCGAACUUUGCAUAGAAAUUUCAUGCCAGAGAUGUAAAAUAAUUUUCUCAUUAUAUCCUUGUCUAAUCGCUUGUGAUGUUAUCUAUUUUAGCUCUUCAUUUAUACUAGCUUGUGAGGAGCAAUGUGUUUUUAUUCUUCCCAAAAGCACCCGUAAGGCUGCCAUUUUAUAAAACCAGGACUCUUUCAUAUUGCCUCUAAUGAACAACAGUUGAUACAUCUUUCUACACACAUUAAUAUCAUAUUCUCCUCUUACUAUUUUUAUUUCUAUACCUAAAUAUUGCAUUUCAAACUC
rnacentral:lncRNA from 1 species